GAUGAACGCUGGCGGCGUGCCUAAUACAUGCAAGUCGAGCGAACAGACGAGGAGCUUGCUCCUCUGACGUUAGCGGCGGACGGGUGAGUAACACGUGGAUAACCUACCUAUAAGACUGGGAUAACUUCGGGAAACCGGAGCUAAUACCGGAUAAUAUAUUGAACCGCAUGGUUCAAUAGUGAAAGACGGUUUUGCUGUCACUUAUAGAUGGAUCCGCGCCGCAUUAGCUAGUUGGUAAGGUAACGGCUUACCAAGGCGACGAUGCGUAGCCGACCUGAGAGGAUGAUCGGCCACACUGGAACUGAGACACGGUCCAGACUCCUACGGGAGGCAGCAGUAGGGAAUCUUCCGCAAUGGGCGCAAGCCUGACGGAGCAACGCCGCGUGAGUGAUGAAGGUCUUCGGAUCGUAAAACUCUGUUAUUAGGGAAGAAAAAAUGUGUAAGUAACUAUGCACGUCUUGACGGUACCUAAUCAGAAAGCCACGGCUAACUACGUG
rnacentral:rRNA from 1 species